rnacentral:lncRNA from 1 species
UAUGAUAGUAGUUUGAUGCACCAUAAGAGUUACUAAAUUGACUCAUUUAGAUAUUUAGUAUAAAAAAAUACAUAUUAUAUUUAAAUCAUAAGUUUUGUUCAUUAAAGUCGUUGCACUAGUAUUGAGUAAAAGUAGCAUUGUUGUCUAUCUUGUUUAACGACAAAAAGGUAAUAAUUGUUUUUGAUCAAAUUUCCUUUUUGUAAUAGUUCCUUCCUUCCUUGUUUUGGCAUUAGUCAUCAAUAGCCAUGAUUUUGGCUUGUUUCAAUGGCAUGUAAUCUGGGUUGUUUUGUACUUAUAAUAAGAAUUCAAUAUUGUUCAACCAAAUAGUAUUUUAUUUGAUAGCAUUCAUUGAUUAAGGUUAAUUGGUUAUCUAUAG